GACGAACGCUGGCGGCGUGCCUAAUACAUGCAAGUAGAACGCUGAAGGAGGAGCUUGCUCUUCUGGAUGAGUUGCGAACGGGUGAGUAACGCGUAGGUAACCUGCCUGGUAGCGGGGGAUAACUAUUGGAAACGAUAGCUAAUACCGCAUAAAAUUGAUUAUUGCAUGAUAGUCAAUUAAAAGGUGCAAUUGCAUCACUACCAGAUGGACCUGCGUUGUAUUAGCUAGUUGGUGAGGUAACGGCUCACCAAGGCAACGAUACAUAGCCGACCUGAGAGGGUGAUCGGCCACACUGGGACUGAGACACGGCCCAGACUCCUACGGGAGGCAGCAGUAGGGAAUCUUCGGCAAUGGACGGAAGUCUGACCGAGCAACGCCGCGUGAGUGAAGAAGGUUUUCGGAUCGUAAAGCUCUGUUGUAAGAGAAGAACGAGUGUGAGAGUGGAAAGUUCACACUGUGACGGUAUCUUACCAGAAAGGGACGGCUAACCACGUG
rnacentral:rRNA from 1 species